GGGAUACCACGUUAAUAACACAGGUCAGAAUCGGAAUGGGUGGCGGAGGUGGCGGAGGAGGUGGAGGGAUCGACACCGGGACAGGGGUUUGGCCUGAAACUAGUGAAGAGAACAGUAAAUGAAAGAUAAGGAGUGCAGCUGUGAUAUGAUAUUUUGAAGCCAUAAUGUGUCUGCUACUAAAGGGCCUAAGAGCGGAGGAUUGAAGGAAUGAAGAGAUAACAUUGCUGGUUUGUCCGUG
rnacentral:lncRNA from 1 species